AUUGAACGCUGGCGGCAUGCCUUACACAUGCAAGUCGAACGGAAACAGGUUAAGCUGACGAGUGGCGAACGGGCGAGUAAUGUAUCGGAACGUGGCCAGUCGCGGGGGAUAACUGCUCGAAAGAGCAGCUAAAACCGCAUACGACCUGAGGGAGAAAGCGGAGGAGCGCAAGACCUCGCGCGAUUGGAGCGGCCGGGAUCCGUUUAGGUAGUUGGUGAGGUAACGGCUCACCAAGCCGACGAUCUGUAGCUGGUCUGAGAGGACGACCAGCCACACUGGGACUGAGACACGGCCCAGACUCCUACGGGAGGCAGCAGUGGGGAAUUUUGGACAAUGGGCGCAAGCCUGAUCCAGCCAUGCCGCGUGCGGGAAGAAGGCCUUCGGGUUGUAAACCGCUUUUGUCAGGGAAGAAAAGGUUCUGGCUAAUACCUGGGACUCAUGACGGUACCUGAAGAAUAAGCACCGGCUAACUACGUG
rnacentral:rRNA from 1 species